GCUCCUGUAGCCCAACUGGAAGCAGGCGACCGAUUUAGGGUCGGUAGGUUGUGAGUUCAAAUCUCACCAGGAGCA
rnacentral:tRNA from 1 species